UUUCCCCUAAGAAAAUAUCAAGAAGCCAUUAACCAGUGUAUACAUGCUUAAUUUUGGGAAUGAAUUUCAUGGCUUUCAGGUUGCAAGUAGAGCCAGCCUUCCAAGUGAAGUCCGGGUCAAGCUUAGUGGGGAUGGGGUGAGAGUGUCUCACUCCACCAAUGUCUUUGUGCUGACAUUUUCUCUACUGGACCUAGAUGGGAAUGUUCUUUCAAGUUCAGGUUACUCAUUUACCAGGCAGCGGUUACAUAGCGCGUCGUUUGAAAGGUCGUAAACGCAAAAGAAAAAGAGCUCGCUGGAGGAGCGAAUCCAAGUCAAAUACAUCCAGUUGAAGUAGGAAUACGCGUGGUUUAUGUAGAACUAACAAACAUUAGACAUCACUUUGGAGUAAAAGUAUCCUAAAGCCCGUGGCUACGCCUAAUGUUUUGUGUUUCAUUGUAUUUCCUCAUGUAAUUUGUUUAUUUUUUGGUUGUUAUCCCAGUGUCUAAUUACAAACAACGCGUUGGUAAACUCGUCGCAAGCAGAGAUCAUUACGCGCGGUGCGUACUUCCAAAUCCCGGUAAAUCAACCAAUCAGAGUGCGCGUACUAUCGUUGCACUUGAUAAACAUUUUUUAAUGUGUCGAAACUCACCACUCUGAGCUGUCAAAAAGAAUCAAUCCCGUUUUCAUUUUUUUAAAUUUUCUUUUAAGCCUCCUGAGCCAAAAUAAAAAAAAAAAUCAUGUACAUUUUGUUGAAGUAAAUAGUUAACGUCACGAAAGGCUGAAUUUGCAUAAGUCGCAGGGACAACAAAACGCUAACGAUAUUGACAUUGAAAACAGUGCGACACGGUGGCACGCCAAAUGCAUUGCUCAGCUAUCUUAUCCCAAUGCGGAUCUUUAAAGGAACCUCACUAGUAGUUAAGCGUUCAGCAGUCGGAUUAUUUUACACUUUUCCUAGGCUUAGGGUAACUUUAUAGUUGUUUUUGUCCGGCGUAUUGAGACUACACAAUAAAUGAGAGAAACAGCAAUUAUCGAACAUGGCGUCGUUUGCGGCCAAGUAUCUUGUUUCCAGCGCCACUGGCAAGGUUCAAAGCACAGUAGGGGAGUUCACGCGGGACUCAAGUAAUGAUGGAUUCAAAAAAGAAGAACUUGAAAAAGCAGAACAGCAAUUGCAAAAAGAUGAACAAGAACGCA